rnacentral:rRNA from 1 species
AUUGAACGCUGGCGGCAUGCUUUACACAUGCAAGUCGAACGGUAACAGGCCGCAAGGUGCUGACGAGUGGCGAACGGGUGAGUAAUGCAUCGGAACGUGCCCAGUCGUGGGGGAUAACUACUCGAAAGAGUAGCUAAUACCGCAUACGAUCUGUGGAUGAAAGCGGGGGACCGUAAGGCCUCGCGCGAUUGGAGCGGCCGAUGUCAGAUUAGGUAGUUGGUGGGGUAAAGGCUCACCAAGCCAACGAUCUGUAGCUGGUCUGAGAGGACGACCAGCCACACUGGGACUGAGACACGGCCCAGACUCCUACGGGAGGCAGCAGUGGGGAAUUUUGGACAAAGGGCGCAAGCCUGAUCCAGCAAUGCCGCGUGCAGGAAGAAGGCCUUCGGGUUGUAAACUGCUUUUGUACGGAACGAAACGGCUCUGGUUAAUACCCGGGGCUAAUGACGGUACCGUAAGAAUAAGCACCGGCUAACUACGUG